rnacentral:lncRNA from 1 species
GGAGGAGUAAAUAACAAACCUCCCAAAUCUACUUGUAAUUCCUAAUAGGAGCGGAUCAAAAUAAUUCCUCUGAUGAAGCUUCAAAACUGCCAGAUGUGAGAAGUGCUUUCUCUACAGGUGUUAACCUGCUGGAGCAUCUGUGUUGUGGCCAAGGAAUGCUUUCUGCAUCUGAAACUGAGGAACAGUUAACCCCUCCUCUUCAUUCGUCUGGUAUGUACUAAAAUAUAUCUUAGAGUGUGGAAUGUAUCCUAGACUUUUUGGUGAGAAGGAGCAAAGGGGAGAGAGGUGUCUUUUCAAGAGUCUGUAGCAUCGAGUCACAUCUCAGUGAGGCAGUCAUGAGUAAAUACAGCAGCCAAAUUGAAAUCCUGCCUAGUCUGGCUUGUUUUAUUGGCAUCUGACCUUGCAGUCACCUGACAGUGUCAGGCUUUCCCCCUUUCUGCUCUGUUUAAUGGUGUUGCAGAAUGAGCAACUGUUUUCAGAACUGAUUCAACAAAUGGUGAAGCUGGAAGUAAUAUUUCAUGCAAUUUGAGAAGGUUUAGGGCACUGCUACCACAGCAACUUCAUCCUGGUGGUUUCUGUUUCCUGAGCCCUGGUGGGAUUGGCUUCUCUCUGCCCCACUGGACUCUGUGCAAG